rnacentral:rRNA from 1 species
AGUGAACGCUGGCGGUAGGCCUAACACAUGCAAGUCGAACGGCAGCACAGUAAGAGCUUGCUCUUACGGGUGGCGAGUGGCGGACGGGUGAGGAAUACAUCGGAAUCUACUUUUUCGUGGGGGAUAACGUAGGGAAACUUACGCUAAUACCGCAUACGACCUACGGGUGAAAGCAGGGGAUCUUCGGACCUUGCGCGAUUGAAUGAGCCGAUGUCGGAUUAGCUAGUUGGCGGGGUAAAGGCCCACCAAGGCGACGAUCCGUAGCUGGUCUGAGAGGAUGAUCAGCCACACUGGGACUGAGACACGGUCCAGACUCCUACGGGAGGCAGCAGUGGGGAAUAUUGGGCAAUGGGCGGAAGCCUGAUCCAGCCAUGCCGCGUGGGUGAAGAAGGCCUUCGGGUUGUAAAACCCUUUUGUUGGGAAAGAAAAGCAGCAGGUUAAUACCCCGCUGUUCUGACGGUACCCAAAGAAUAAGCACCGGCUAACUUCGUG